UUAGUCUAUAAAAAUAGGGAUCGCUCGAGGACGUUAAAAGUUGUUUUCUUUUGAGAUUCGCUUCAUUUAAAAACUACAACACUAGGAUGAAAGAGCAAAACUCAGAACAAAAAGUGAGUCAAACGAAGAUGGAGAUUGUGUUUGCAGCAUGUAGCGGCGUGUUCGGAUGGAAAUAAUCUUAAAGCGGAGCCUUUUUCCAUGAGGAUGGGAGGAAGAAGGGAUGGAGAUCGGAACCUCCAAGUCGGAGGUUUUCAGCUUAGGACAGCUGGAAAGUCUCCUCCAGAAAAACAGCAGCGUGCCUUUUCUUUCUGCCACCGUGAUGCAUGUCAGCCAUCAGCAACCGUCCCCCAGGAAUGACAUCAUCUCUCAGAGCGCAAAGUUGAUGGAUCCUUCUCCAUUCAGGGGGGGGUUGAUGAAGCAGGUAGCUCCGCAGGAAGGUGAGGUGGAGGAAAACCGCCAAAAAACCCGCACGGCGCUUUGUCAACGUCACCGUGGCGCUCUCAGGGUCCCAAAGCAGCCCAGACAGAGAUUAACAACAGGCAGGAUUUAGUGGAAGAUUAUAUUUGCAUCAUCAUCAUCAGAGAUAUCAGGUUAUCUCACCACAUCUUUUUCAGAGUGAAACACUGAUUGCAUUCAGUCGUUUCAGCCUGAGAACCCGCCUUAGAUAAAGAGCCACAAAUGAAGAGAGAAGACGGGACUCACUUAAGGUUUUCAGCUGUAAUGGAACAGCGGGGGGGCUUCACAGCCGGAGUUAAAAUGUAAUUUAACUCCUCAAACGUGUGCGGGCACACGGACGGCCAUCGCACUGUAAAUGAGACAAGGACGACAGUGGAGAUGCGGUGCGGCCUGCAGCCCGGCUUCUGUCAAGGGCGAAUCAGAGCUGUCAGAAAGCAUCAAGCACCGCUGCCAUGGCAACCGCGUUAGCACCCUCGAAGGUCACAAGAUGGAGAGAGCGUUCCCCUCCUGCUGGGAGGCUGUCAAGAAUGACACACAACUUAAGCCACACACAGCCUCAUUUAAAAACAGUUUAUCACAGCGUGCCUUUUUUUAUUUGUGCAGGCGGGAUUUUGCGCAUCUAAGAGAGAGCGAUGUUUGUUUUUGACUGUACUUAUAUUUAGAAAUAGUGAGUUUUUUAAGCUGUAGGAGAUAUAUCACUCUAACAGGAUUCUAUUUUGGGAGAAAAAUUACAAAUUGGAAAGCACAGGAUUGUGUACAAACCCACACAUCCGCACUCAUUUAUAACACACUCACUUCACAGCAGGUUCAUGGGCUCAUUAAAGUUUUCCCAGCUGUCUGGA